GAGUUUGAUCAUGGCUCAGAUUGAACGCUGGCGGCAGGCCUAACACAUGCAAGUCGAACGGUAACAGGAAACAGCUUGCUGUUUCGCUGACGAGUGGCGGACGGGUGAGUAAUGUCUGGGAAACUGCCUGAUGGGGGGGGAUAACUACUGGAAACGGUAGCUAAUACCGCAUAACGUCGCAAGACCAAAGAGGGGGACCCUCGGGCCUCUUGCCAUCGGAUGUGCCCAGAUGGGAUUAGCUUGUUGGUGGGGUAACGGCUCACCAAGGCGACGAUCCCUAGCUGGUCUGAGAGGAUGACCAGCCACACUGGAACUGAGACACGGUCCAGACUCCUACGGGAGGCAGCAGUGGGGAAUAUUGCACAAUGGGCGCAAGCCUGAUGCAGCCAUGCCGCGUGUAUGAAGAAGGCCUUCGGGUUGUAAAGUACUUUCAGCGGGGAGGAAGGGAGUAAAGUUAAUACCUUUGCUCAUUGACGUUACCCGCAGAAGAAGCACCGGCUAACUCCGUGCCAGCAGCCGCGGUAAUACGGAGGGUGCAAGCGUUAAUCGGAAUUACUGGGCGUAAAGCGCACGCAGGCGGUUUGUUAAGUCAGAUGUGAAAUCCCCGGGCUCAACCUGGGAACUGCAUCUGAUACUGGCAAGCUUGAGUCUCGUAGAGGGGGGUAGAAUUCCAGGUGUAGCGGUGAAAUGCGUAGAGAUCUGGAGGAAUACCGGUGGCGAAGGCGGCCCCCUGGACGAAGACUGACGCUCAGGUGCGAAAGCGUGGGGAGCAAACAGGAUUAGAUACCCUGGUAGUCCACGCCGUAAACGAUGUCGACUUGGAGGUUGUGCCCUUGAGGCGUGGCUUCCGGAGCUAACGCGUUAAGUCGACCGCCUGGGGAGUACGGCCGCAAGGUUAAAACUCAAAUGAAUUGACGGGGGCCCGCACAAGCGGUGGAGCAUGUGGUUUAAUUCGAUGCAACGCGAAGAACCUUACCUGGUCUUGACAUCCACGGAAGUUUUCAGAGAUGAGAAUGUGCCUUCGGGAACCGUGAGACAGGUGCUGCAUGGCUGUCGUCAGCUCGUGUUGUGAAAUGUUGGGUUAAGUCCCGCAACGAGCGCAACCCUUAUCCUUUGUUGCCAGCGGUCCGGCCGGGAACUCAAAGGAGACUGCCAGUGAUAAACUGGAGGAAGGUGGGGAUGACGUCAAGUCAUCAUGGCCCUUACGACCAGGGCUACACACGUGCUACAAUGGCGCAUACAAAGAGAAGCGACCUCGCGAGAGCAAGCGGACCUCAUAAAGUGCGUCGUAGUCCGGAUUGGAGUCUGCAACUCGACUCCAUGAAGUCGGAAUCGCUAGUAAUCGUGGAUCAGAAUGCCACGGUGAAUACGU
rnacentral:rRNA from 1 species